CAGGCCUAACACAUGCAAGUCGAGGGGUAACAGGGAGUGCUUGCACUCCGCUGACGACCGGCGCACGGGUGCGUAACGCGUAUGCAACCUACCUUUUACAGGGGGAUAGUCAAGAGAAAUUUUGAAUAAUACCCCAUACGAUCAUCAAGACACAUGUUUAGAUGAGGAAAACUUCGGUGGUAAAAGAUGGGCAUGCGUCCUAUUAGCUAGAUGGAGAGGUAACGGCUCCCCAUGGCAACGAUAGGUAGGGGUCCUGAGAGGGAGAUCCCCCACACUGGUACUGAGACACGGACCAGACUCCUACGGGAGGCAGCAGUGAGGAAUAUUGGACAAUGGAGGCAACUCUGAUCCAGCCAUGCCGCGUGCAGGAAGACUGCCCUAUGGGUUGUAAACUGCUUUUAUACAGGAAGAAACACUCCCUCGUGAGGGAGCUUGACGGUACUGUACGAAUAAGGAUCGGCUAACUCCGUGCCAGCAGCCGCGGUAAUACGGAGGAUCCAAGCGUUAUCCGGAAUUAUUGGGUUUAAAGGGUCCGUAGGUGGUUUGCUAAGUCAGAGGUGAAAUCCUGCCGCUUAACGGUAGCACUGCCUUUGAUACUGGCAAACUUGAGUCAUUGUGAAGUAGUUAGAAUGUGUAGUGUAGCGGUGAA
rnacentral:rRNA from 1 species